UAGGGAAUCUUCGGCAAUGGGGGGAACCCUGACCGAGCAACGCCGCGUGAGUGAAGAAGGUUUUCGGAUCGUAAAGCUCUGUUGUUAAGGAAGAACGAGUGUGAGAAUGGAAAGUUCAUACUGUGACGGUACUUAACCAGAAAGGGACGGCUAACUACGUGCCAGCAGCCGCGGUAAUACGUAGGUCCCGAGCGUUGUCCGGAUUUAUUGGGCGUAAAGCGAGCGCAGGCGGUUAGAUAAGUCUGAAGUUAAAGGCAGUGGCUCAACCAUUGUAGGCUUUGGAAACUGUUUAACUUGAGUGCAGAAGGGGAGAGUGGAAUUCCAUGUGUAGCGGUGAAAUGCGUAGAUAUAUGGAGGAACACCGGUGGCGAAAGCGGCUCUCUGGACUGUAACUGACGCUGAGGCUCGAAAGCGUGGGGAGCGAACAGG
rnacentral:rRNA from 1 species